AUGGAGGGCCGCCGCUGUCGUCUCAGGAGCCUGAGGUCCCCGAUGGCCGGGCCCCCGCUCCCCGGACCCGGCGUGGGGGUGCGCCAACCCCGGAGGACCGGUCGCCGAAGCCUCAACGGUCUGGUUGAACAUCGCUGCCGCAGCCUGCCCUUAACGCGUGUCACCCUCCAUGUCCCAGGUGGCAGAUCCCUUGCAGCGCCUUCAAGCCGGGAGCGGCCUCCCACCCUGAGGUUGCAGAAGAGUGUGGGGUCGGCAGUGUGUGAUGAGAUCAGCAGCAGAGCGUUCGGGGGGUGAGCACUGGCCUGCCUUGAGGGGUGCCUUAAUUCGUUCCCCCAGGUUUUGUGUGCUGAGGUGCUCAAGAAUGGUGGUCUGUGGUGUGGAGUUUUGAAGCUGGAGGCGGCAGCCCUUUAGCCUCAGAAGAGGUAAGCUUCCAUCGACAAGGACCCCUCCUCCCAUGGUGGAAUGAAUAAGCGGCUAGUAUCAUUAAAAUUGAUUUUCAGAAAAAGGAUAUCAAAUGAUGAAAUCACCCAAAAUAGCUGGAAUUACCGGCAGAUUGUGUAGUGGUGAACGUAUGGUUUUCUGAAGAUAACCUUUUUAUGCUGUGAAUAGCUGUUGGGUGGAGUAGAAAGUGACACUGAUACUUAGUUUCUUUGCAGGCUGUUUUCUCAGAGAAUGGUCAGCCAUGCUGCAGCAGGGGAAGAACUUGAAGUUUCAAGGACCAGUGGUCACCAUACCAUCAGUUUGGACUGAAACCCUAGGCUUCAACAGUUGGUGUGGAAACAAUGCUUAACUUGUGCUGAGAUUCAGAGGCCAUUCUCUUACCAACAGAGCCAACAAAUGUGUUUGGCAAACUUGCUAGGGUAUUACGCUAGGAUAGGCACUGUUGGUGUCAUUGAAUUCAUGAGCUUUCUAGUAAUGUAUUAUAAAUACUAUAUUUUUAGCUCCCCUGCCCAAAGAGAGCUUCUAUACCUGUAAAUUUUGUAUAAAUUUGUUCUGUCAGGUGAGGGACUGAGUUCUUUAAGCUGCAAAUGUAUUUCUUCCUGAAACUGAUACUUCUGUGCAAUUACCACAAACUGCAAUAAAGGAUGGUCUUUAGUCCUGGUUUUUAAAAAUGUGUAUUUGAAGAAAAAAAUUUGGUCACUGCUGUCAAAUAAGCAGUCCAGGUGUUAGCACUUGUCAGCUUCUCCAUGGUCAGUCUAAGCUGUUUCCCCUCUGUAACAACUUUAGACUUGAGGGUAAAAGUUCCAAAGCAUUUAAGGCAUCCACACCUUUGAUUCCAGUCUGCCUUUGGGCUGUGUCCUUAUGCAUAGCCUACCUCCGGAAGCUCUGUACUACGCUCAGCCAAGCACCUGGACAGUGGCAGGCAGGGUCCCCAUAGUGUGGCUCUUCACCCAGCCCGUCUUGGUGCCUUCCUGAGUUGGGCUCUCACCUACUGGUCAGUGGGCUAGAGGCUGGACAGGCCAUGCU